rnacentral:rRNA from 1 species
UACGGGGGGGGCAAGCGUUGUUCGGAAUUACUGGGCGUAAAGGGCUCGUAGGUGGCCAACUAAGUCAGACGUGAAAUCCCUCGGCUUAACCGGGGAACUGCGUCUGAUACUGGAUGGCUUGAGUUCGGGAGAGGGAUGCGGAAUUCCAGGUGUAGCGGUGAAAUGCGUAGAUAUUAGGAAGAACACCGGUGGCGAAGGCGGCCCACCUGGAUCGGUACUGACGCUGGAGGUGCGAAAGCGUGGGGAGCAAACAGG